rnacentral:lncRNA from 1 species
ACUCCUCACAAUAACCGUAUCCCAUUCAGAGACACCACAGCUCUCUGUGAGGGAUAAAUAAGAUUUAGCUGGCAGAGCUAGAUAAUGAUCCACUCAGCAUGAGAGCUCAGUGCUCCUCAUCUCCAUCUCAUCUCCUGCCUCUCUCACUGUGCUGCUGUGACGUCAGUAUUGUACUUCACUAAUGAAGAGGACUUCAGUAAAGAUCUAUACUAGAACAUUCUCACAACAGGCAUAUUCUUGCUCUAGGGGGGGUUUUCAUAUCAAAGCACAGAUAAACGGAUAAAUCCAAGUGUGUGUGUGACUAACUGUGUGUGUGAGAUUCAAAGAGCUGAGCAGGCAGCCUAUGUCUUUGGUGUACUAUUGCUUUCAUUUAAGCCCGGGAGAGAGAAGCUAGCCUGCCCGGGAGAGAGAAGCUAGCCUGCCCGGGAGAGAGAAGCUAGCCUGCCCGGGAGAGAGAAGAUAGCCUGCCCCCCUGAGGCAUGUGACAACACAAUGGUUUAAUGAUCUGUGUCUGUUCUGCUGCUGCUAGUUUGUGAGACUGCUGCAGCACAGAGUGCUGAAUACAGGCAGUCAAGCUGGCCUGGCCAGUAGAAAUACACUGUAAGUCAGUGUUUCUCAGAGUGCUGAAUACAGGCAGGCAGCAGAUUCUCUGGCCUGGCCAGGAGAAAUACACUGUAAGUCAGUGUUUCUCAGAGUGCUGAAUACAGGCAGUUCAGCAAGCAGCAGAUUCUCUGGCCUGGCCAGGAGAAAUACACUGUAAGUCAGUGUUUCUCAGAGUGCUGAAUACAGGCAGGCAGCAAGCAGCAGAUUCUCUGGCCUGGCCAGUAGAAAUACACUGUAAGUCAGUGUUUCUCAGAGUGCUGAAUACAGGCAGGCAGCAGAUUCUCUGGCCUGGCCAGGAGAGAUACAUUAUGUCAGUGUUUCUCAGAGUGCUGAAUACAGGCAGGCAGCAGAUUCUCUGGCCUGGCCAGGAGAGAUACAUUAUGUCAGUGUUUCUCAGCCUGUUCCUCUGGGAGUGGGAGAUCCCUAGUUGUUCCACCACUAGUCAACUAGCCCAAUGCUCAAGCCCUUGACUAGUUGUGUGACGUGAGCUAGCUAGGUCAAAAAUGUGGAGCGGCAGGAUGUUUCCAAGGAACACAGAUGAAAUGGAGAAACCCACUGCUACAUAGACCUAACAGGAAUGUGGUGGUCGCCCCAGCAGUGCUGUCCCAUCCAGUCACGUAGACCUGAGUUGAGGAGAAACACCCUGAAAGUGAUCUGUAAGGCAAGCCUUCCUGGCCUGCUGGGGCCUCAGUCAGUGGAAUGGCAGAAGUGUGCUUUACUGCCUUCCUUGGAGAUGACCUGAGGUCAGGUCUAACUGUAGCGGAUGAACAGAGGUCAGGUCUAACUGUAGCGGAUGAACAGAGGUCAGGUCUAACUGUAGCGGAUGAACAGAGGUCAGGUCUAACUGUAGCGGAUGAACAGAGGUCAGGUCUAACUGUAGCGGAUGAACAGAGGUCAGGUCUAACUGUAGCGGAUGAACAGAGGUCAGGUCUAACUGUAGCGGAUGAACAGAGGUCAGGUCUAACUGUAGCGGAUGAACAGAGGGUCAGGUCUAACUGUAGCGGAUGAACAGAGGUCAGGUCCAACUGUAGCGGAUGAACAGAGGUCAGGUCCAACUGUAGCGGAUGAACAGAGGUCAGGUCCAACUGUAGCGGAUGAACAGAGGUCAGGUCCAACUGUAGCGGAUGAACAGAGAGUCAGGUCCAACUGUAGCGGAUGAACAGAGAGUCAGGUCCAACUGUAGCGGAUGAACAGAGAGUCAGGUCCAACUGUAGCGGAUGAACAGAGGUCAGGUCUAACUGUAGCGGAUGAACAGAGGUCAGGUCUAACUGGAGCGGAUGAACAGAGGUCAGGUCCAACUGUAGCGGAUGAACAGAGGUCAGGUCCAACUGUAGCGGAUGAACAGAGGGUCAGGUCUAACUGUAGCGGAUGAACAGAGGUCAGGUCUAACUGUAGCGGAUGAACAGAGGUCAGGUCCAACUGGAGCGGAUGAACAGAGGUCAGGUCUAACUGGAGCGGAUGAACAGACAUGGUUGGAUUUCCUGUUCAGACUACUGGUUGUUUCCUUGUCUUCUGCACCUGUUUUGGUCAAUAGUGAACAUACUCUCCCCCCCCCCACACACUCACACACACACACACUCCCCCACACACACACACUCCCCCACCACACACACAGCGUUAAUCCCUGGCUUCUGAUCUGCGUGUAGUCUUUCAUGUAAAGCCAGCCCUGUGAUGCCUGGUAACCCGAUACAGCCGCUAUUGAUGGUGAUGCUGUUGAUAUUCAGGAGAGGAGAGCAGCCUGCCAUGUUGCUCUCCCUGGUUGGUCCUGGGAUGCUGCUGUGUGGUCUGGGCUGAUAGGUGGAAGGCCCAUUAUCAAAAAUAUUGUUUGGCUUUGGAUGAUUUAAACAGUCUGGGCCUGGGCUAUAGGGCCUGGGCUAUAGGGCCUGGGCUAUAGGGCCUGGGCUAUAGGGCCUGGG